UACAGAGGUCUCAAGCGUUGUUCGGAUUCAUUGGGCGUAAAGGGUGUGUAGGUGGCGCGCUAAGUCGGGUGUGAAAUUUCGGAGCUUAACUCCGAAACUGCAUUCGAUACUACCGUGCUUGAGGACUGGAGAGGAGACUGGAAUUUACGGUGUAGCGGUGAAAUGCGUAGAUAUCGUAAGGAAGACCAGUGGCGAAGGCGGGUCUCUGGACAGUUCCUGACGCUGAGGCACGAAGGCCAGGGGAGCAAACGGG
rnacentral:rRNA from 1 species